UUGUCUAAUAUAGUGGUCCAUGGCUUAUAGUGGGUGACUUUAACAGUGUGUUAGGAGUGGAUGAAAGACUUAAUGGGCAACCAGUACACCAAUCAGAGAUGGCUGACUUUCAAUGCUGCAUUGAUGAUAUUGGAGUAGGACAGAUUACCAAAAGAGGAAAGAGAUUCUCUUGGAGCAAUAAGAGAGAUGGUGAACACAUGAUUUACAGUCAUAUCGACUGGGCUUUUGGUAAUGCUGAGUGAUUCAAUACUUACACUGGAGUGGAAGCAGUAUCCAUGCUGCUUGGAUGCUCAGUUACACACCCCUAAUGAUAGACACUGAAGUUGCAAAAACCAAAGUGCACAGAUCAUACAGAUUACUCACAACAGUUAUGCAGCAAGAGGGUUACAGGGAAGUAGUUCAGGGAGUUUAGAGCCAACGGCACCAAGGCUACACUAUGCACUCUAUUUGGAGCAAACUGAAAAAACUUGAACAAACUACCAGACACAUUCACAAGGAACACUCCUCUGUUGAGAAGAAACUGCAACAAAUGAGAGAAGAACUGAAUGUAACACAAAGCAGACUGAAUGAAGACCAUUCCAACAAACAGGAGAUCCAAAAAGAAAAUUAGUUCUUACAGGACAUUGAAAAAUGGGAAGCAGUUCAAGAACAAAUACUGAGGCAGAAAUCAAGAGCCAGUUGGAUCCAACUGGGAGAUAACAAUACAAAAUACUUCCAUGCCUACAUGAAAUGAGGCAGAAAUCAAGAGCAAGUUGGAUCCAACUGGGAGAUCAAAAUACAAAAUACUUCCAUGCAUACAUGAAAUCCAGACAAGCAAGAAAUAAGGUGAGUUGUAUCCUUACAGAUAACCAGAUGAAGCUUACCGAUCCACAGCAGAUUCAACAACAAUUCACCUAGUUCUUUCACAAGUUACUAGGUACAGCAGCAGCUCAGCUACCAGGCAUUGACAUCAAUGUGGCCAGAGAUGGACCCUGCCUAACACUGCAUCAACAGCAGCAACUCUUGGUACCAGUAACAGAAAAGGAGAUCCACCAGAUUAUGCAGAACCUUCCUCAGGAUAAGACUCCAGGUAUUGAUGGCUAUCAUGCAGAAUUCUUUAAAGAAUUUUGGCCAAUUGUG
rnacentral:lncRNA from 1 species